GGGGCUGUAACUCAGUGGCAGAGAGCAUGCCUCACACGUGUGAGGCACUGGGUUUGAUCCUCAGCACCACA
rnacentral:tRNA from 1 species